UGCUAAGGGCUGCUAGGAUGACUCCGGG
rnacentral:piRNA from 1 species